UCUUCACCUUUAUUUGCAGCUUCUCCAUGUGUCUUUGCAGUGAAUUUCUCCCAAUUUAGGCCGUUGUGAAUCAUUUCCCCUUGGUUAUCCACUCCUAAAAAGUGAAGCAGCAGUUUUAAAGACGUCAGAGAAGAGUAAUAUGCCUAAACAAUAAACAGAAAUGAUCUGGAUUAGCUCAAAUCUCUCCUAUUAGAAAACAAAAGCUUAAACAAUAAGACAAUUUCAUAAAAGUUCAGUUCAAAGUUUUUAGAAAAUCCUCCGUCGUCUUCUGCAACUCACGAGAUCUCAGAAUGACACUUUUCCACUAACAAGGUUUGGAUGCACACAGAUUGGCACAAAAUGGAAGGUAAGGGAACCGUCGCCAAAUAGGUUCUCGGGACUCGUAAUGAUAAUCUGAGCCUGUCAAUUGCUGCUCCGCUCUUCCUCGAUACUGGAGCAAUUUCAGAGAUAGUCCUCCCCAUCAGUCAAGCACAUGGAAAUACAAAGUCCAGAUUUCAUCAGUCAAACACAAAAUACGACCGCUCAUAUCCAAAGAACAAAUCGGUAAUAUUUUCGCCAUUUAAUAAUGAGCGUGCAGAUUGAGAAUAAAUGACCAAAACUUUCAUCUUUCUAUUCAGAGUUUGUUGGAAAACUUUUGGCAGGUGAAUUCACUUGCAGUGUAAAUUUUAAAAACUUAUUAUUAAGGAGCAAAAACAAACUGUUCCUGUUUUCUUGGCCAAACUGGUGGCUGCAGAUGGCUGUGCACAAAUUUGUCCAUCUUUACUUGCAGUUUGCAGUAAAAUAUUUGUUGAAAAUUUGCUGCUGCAAUCUGGAAUACAUUCACCAAUUUUUCUUUAUUUUCCUGUUUUCAUUUACGGUGAUGACGUGUCUUCUUGAACAUUCAGUCUGUCUUGACACCGUGUCCCUGAUUAAAAUGCCAUGACAAUAAAGCUCAAAUGAACUGAACUGAAUGGAGCUAAAGACAAAGCACUCCCAGAAUCCUCCACUCUGGAUAAAAUAGACUGCCACAUAUCUGUCAAAUGGAGGAAGAAGAGAGCAGCACUAAAAUAGAGCAUGUAAAAAUAAAAAUAGAUUUGACAGGGUGACAGAGGCCAUCUGAGCAGGGCAUGAAAACCACAAACACCCUGUCUCUGAAAUUUUAAUUCAAACUUGGUUUCCUGACAAUUUAAGAAGACACUCCUCCUCUCUUCAUCAUCAUGCGGAGAAACUCGAACCUUCAUCAUUUAUUGACCUCAAAAGGACGCUGUCAAUCUGGGUUUGUAGUGACUCUGAUUUCUGCAAAAUAUGAACUAAAGAGUUUGUUUGAACCCAAAUUUUAAAGAUGUGACUUCAGUCCUGUUGUUUACUCGUCUGUGCUGGGUUUGAAUGUGAUCGGGUCAGAGUGGAUAUUUGCAACUAAACUUAUGAGGAAAUUCAACAACAAAUAAUGUCAAAUCCUCAGCUUACCGUCUGUUUAUGCAAAGUGUUAGUGCUGUUUGCAGAGCAGGUAUUAAAGCCUGUACUUGUUUUUGACCCCAGGACUUCACUACAGCCGUCAGUCAUCUUUUUAUGUCUGCAUAGCAAUAAAUUCACCUUUAAGGCGAAUUAAAGCACUUCUGAAGUAUUAUAUAUCCAUUCAAAUGAGCUUUAGUGUCAUGAGGAGAUAUAACAUAUUAAGGAGUUAAUUAAAAUAUAUUUGAUUGAUGCAAUUUACUGAAAUCCUGUAAAUAAGUAUAAUGCAGUUAAAAAGGAUACAGGUAAUUAGGGCUGGGUGAUAUGGCCUCAAAUCAAUAUCCUGAUAUAUUGAGCAGUUCCCCUUGAUAACGAUAAAUGGACGAUAACUACGAUAACUACUACUGUCUACUUCAGCCGCUACAACUUUUGAACCGUCCUCCAUCUCCUCACCUGUCUUUCCCUCUUUGUUACGGACUGGAUGGGGAGGAGUCACGUCUCUCUUUAUUUUUUGACACCAAAAUAUUGACAUGGGCAAAAUGACGUUGGUUAUUGUCGUAAAUUUUGGUAUCUGUGAAUUUCAGUUUAUCGUCCAGCCCUACAGGUAAUGGAUAUGAAGUACUGAAUCUACCUCUCGAUUAAACAAUCCUGCAGUCUUGCAGAAGUGCCCACUGUAAUGUGAUUUGUGUCUGUUUUCUUCAAUUUAGUGGAUGUCUUUUUCAUCUUACUCCUUGCAUGUUUCUAGUUCUUCUUGACUUAUUCUGUAAAAUGCUGAACUACACCAGCUGUCAUAUGUACCAACUGUUAGCAGGGUCACAGGGAGGUCAUCCCGGUAUAAUAGAAGAUGAACAGACAUGCUCUGUCUUGAUUUUGCAAGAAUAUUUCAAUGCCGUAUGACAACCCUCACAAAAUAUCAGCAUUGAAGCAGGUUUCCCCAGUAUAAUCAGUGUCAUUAGUGGCCAGUUAGUCAACCAAUCAAAAAACAAUUUGAUGCAGUAACAGGUAUUUAUUAAAUCAACACACACACAAAAAAAAACUCAGCCUGUUUUACUCUUUAGGAACGGCCCCUAUAGUCAUCACACUUCAGCUCCACUUACACACACACAUUUACUCACAUACACCUUUUCCAUUCCCCUCAUUUCCCGUUCCCUGAGCUGACUCCUUCAGACUGACAGUGUGGAUGAUUUCUCCUGUCAGGUUGCCUUAAGUGGGCACUGCCACACCAUAGCGGCCUCUUUCUCUCUGCUCACGCUGUUUGAUGCCGCCCUCGACUUCUCUGUGGCCCCCACUCCUCCAAAUUCUCUCUCCUCCUCCCCUUUCCCUUUACAUCUUCAUAAGGCAAUCUUGCAGACUUAUGUGGUUUUGAAUUGCUGCCGAACUUUCUCUUUAUCCUCCAUUACUAACCCUCCUUCUCUCAGUGUAGUCCUCAUCAUCAGAGGCUUUAAUAGCUUUAAUAUCACACCUAUAAUAUACAUUUUCAGCGUUACUUCUGGCUCGGUAUUUCAGUUUAAUCCAGACGAAUAUUGCGGUGAGGUCUCGAAAUAGCUAAAGUGAGACAAGCAGGUGCAAGACAAAAAAGCAUCUAAGUGUGAGAGAGCGUGUGGGCUGGCUCAGUUGUGAAAAAUACUGCAGUUGAAUAGAAACCAUUCAGUGAAAUUGAAGUGUUUUAGGAGUAAUCACCUGAAGUAGUUUACCUGUCAGCUGCAAGUAAAGAAUCAUAAGAGCUAGGAAUGUCUUUUAAACAGAAAAGAAAGAUAUUGAAAGCAGUGUGUUUACUCCUUUGUUGGUGUGCAAUAAAGAAAAAACCUUUCCAAAGAAAGCUCCAAACAUUUGCAAGGUUGUAGUUUUCCUGCUAGUAGAGGAGCUGAAUCGAAAUGAGCAGAUCCGCUGGAUUAAUUCAACAUGUCAGUCACUUUCGAGUUACAGUCAUUACACCGGGAUAAUGUGGUUUGCAUACAUUUUUAUGACCUUAAGUUGAAUUCAUGGCAAAUGGGUCCAACUCACAAACUUCAGCGCUUACAUCCCUGCACAGCUGAAGUAGAGUUGUCUCCAUCUGCUCCGUGCAAAGAUAGACAGAUGUUACAAAAAUGAUAAUAAUACUAUGACAUUACUAUUUAUGAAAAAAAAAUUAGGGGUUUAUCCAAUCUGAAAUUGUGUUUUUUUUGCUAGCUGGAUAUAAACCGUGAACUUUUUUAUCACAUCUGUCAUAAAUCUAGUUCACAAUAAUAUUUUAUGAAGCAUUUCCUCCUCAUUCAGCUCAUCAUAUUACAAUUUAACUGUCAGAAUGAGAGUGCACAGUGAAGCUCUGUGCAGCAGAGAGUGGAGAUGGUAACACCUCAUCUUUAUUCAAAUCUGAUGCAAAUAUUGAGUGAAUUGCACAGAAAUGCAGGACACGGUGCAUUUUGUGGCUUGGAUAUAGUUAGCCUAACACGUUUGAGUUCGAGAGGGUAGUAUGGGGAAAUUAGGGCUGGGCGAUAAACCAAAAAUGUACCAAUAACUGACGAUACUUUGCCCAUAUCAAUAUAUAUACAGUGUCAAAAUAAAUAAAUACAUAAAUACAUCAAUAAAAGUUAGUUUUGGAUGUGUGUAGGUAGGCUAUGGUCUCAUGUCCCUUUAAGACGCUUUCCUACAUCAGAGAUGUGACUCCACCCCAUCCAGUCUGUAUCUGUAGUUAUCAAGGUUAACUGCUCAAUAUGUCUGGAUAUUGAUUUGAGGCCAUAUUGCCCAGCCCUAGCAGAAAUAAUGUGUAAUCUUUUAUGUUAUCAAGUUUACCUAGACUCGCAGCGCCCACUUUUUUUUACUUAGUUCAACAAAUAGCCUUCAAAUGACUUUUGAUUAUGUUUCUUAGAGUAGACGUGAAGUUUCUGCUACUAUGCUGACUGCACUAGCUACCAUGAUGACCCAUGCCUUGACUACGCCAUAUUUGGUGUAAGAUGCCAACUUUUAAAAGUAAAAUUAGAUCAUUAAAGUUUAAUCUUAGACAUCAAAUUACAUGAUUUGUUAAUUAUGCAUUUCACCCAUGCCGCCACUUUGGUCUGCGGCAUGCUCUUGCUGAUCAGAUCAUCUGAUACGAACAUUUGCACACAAAUAAUUGACUAUUAGCUUCUGUAAGAGAGAGCUUGUGUAAAAAUAUCAAAGGCAGCAGCUACAUCUUGUCAAAAAUGAUUGAAUUUGAUUGGAUUUGAAAUGAUCACUUGAGCUCAUGAUGGUUUUUUAAUCAGGACUCAUGUUUGUCUCGUCUUCAUUCCCAAUGAUCUCUAACAAGCAGCUUCAGCUGUGCGUCUUGUCUUCCAAAAAUACUGUACAUUUCUCAUUUUAAACGGACUGUUUUUGGAGAACAGUUUUCCUUCCUGUUGAAAAAAGACCCCUCCGUUUGACUCCCUCUACCAAACAUAUGAAUUUAAAAGCAUUUUCUAAAUGUCCCCCCAAAGAUUUGAAACCACUGUAGUGGUGCAGACGAGCAAACAUUUUUGAAACUAUCGCCUCUUUGACGGCUUUUAUCUCUGCAGGUGAGACAGUCAAACAUUACGCAAUGGCGGUCGGGAUAAUUGACAGAUUUAAGAAAGUAGAACAAGAGAGAUGAAGAGAGACGAGAAGGAGAGAAGACAGAGGAUGGGACAAAUUGCUCUGCAGCAGCCGAGGUGCCUGCAUGCAUAAUGGGGGAGACAGACAGACAGCUCAGAUGGAUGCGUGUGGGAAAAACCACAGCUAGUGCUAUAACCGGAUUUUGAACCCUUACUGGAAAUGUUUGUGAGAAGCUGAGUGUUGUGGCUGCUUGAAACAGAAGUGAUGGUGGUGUUUUAAUUUAGAAAGUCAGGGAGACUAACAAGAGAAAAGGAUGUAUGUUUUUAAUUUGUCUUUAUGUGUCCGUUUUUAUUUAUUUGACUCAAAACUGACACACAAAGUUAAUGAAAUUUGGCAUUUAUUUUGAAAGAACUGAAACAUUAAUAUUUCAGUUAAAAGAGAGGAAUAAAAAAUUAGUUUGCAAGCGUAAAAAAAUGUCAUCAGCUUUGGUGAGUCGACUAGGGGCUGGGCGAUAAACUGAAAAUCUACAUAUAGAAAGUCAGGGAGACAAAGAAAAGAGCACAAACAAGAAAAAGAAUGAAUGUUUUUUAUUUGUCUCUAUGUCUCCGUUUUUUAUUUAUUUGAUUAAAAACUGACACACAAAGUCAAUGAAAUUUAGCAUUUAUUUUGAAAGAACUAAAACAUUCAUAGUUCAUUAAAAGAGACUCAAUUACAAGUAAAUAAAAGUUUAAUUGGCAAGUGUAAAAAAAUGUAAUCGGCUUUGGCAAGUAGUAGGGCUGGGCAAUAAAUGGAAAAUUUGCCAAUACUAAUAAUUACAACAAUAACCAACAUCAUUUAUCCCAUUUCAAGAUAUUUGGUGUCUAAAAUAUUUUGAAUUGAGAUUAUUUAACUGUCAGAAUGAGAGUGCACAGUGUAGCUCUGUGCAGCAGAGAGUGGAGAUGGUAGCAACUAGAGCUAGGCAAUAAACCGUAAAUUCACAGAUACCGAAAUUUACGACAAUAACCAACGUCAUUUUGCCCAUUUCAAGAUAUUUGGCGUAAAAAAAUAAAAAAUAAAUAAAAGUUGGUUUUGGAUGUGUGUAGGUAGGCUAUGGUCUCAUGACCCUUUAAGACGUUGUCCUACGUCAGAGAUGUGACUCCACCCCAUCCAGUUAGUAACAAAGAGGGAAAGACAGGUGAGGAGAUGGAGGACGGUUCAAAAGUUGGAGCGGCUGAAGUAGACAAAGUUAAUGUGGGAGGGGGUGAGCCGCUUAUGGAGUAGUUAUUGUCUAUUUAUCGUUAUUGAGGUUAACUGCUCAGUAUAUCGUGAUAUUGAUUUGAGGCCAUAUCGCCCAGCCCUAGUGCUGACAGACUCCAGGAGUUUCUGGAGAAUUGGUUGGCUGAACAAAAGAUUUUCAGUGAAUCUGUCAACAUCUUCCAUAGAAAAAGGACUCACUUGAGCUUUUAUUAAUACUAAAUAAAUUGAAGUAUAAAAGUAGAGAUUUCUUUCAAUGUAUAGUAAGCCAUUAUGUCGAGGGAUUAGCGCAUAAGCUGGCCGGAGCAGCUCAUCUGGUGAAAAAUUGCUUUUGUCUGUUUUGUCCUUCGCUGAGUUUGGGCACAGAGAAAACACACCGCUGGGCAUACAGAUAACCUAGUGCAAACCGAAAUUCAUAUUCAAUCAUACCUCCUCCAAAACCUCUGGGAAUUCACUCAGUAAACCCUCCCAGUGAUGCCUCGGUGCAGGCUGUGAAUCUUAAGAGAGACCUGAGCAGAAAGACAGAUGGCUGAGGAGCCCAGACAGCCUACACAGCGAGGCAAAGACAGAGAUAAUUCAGGGGUAAGCCACCCUCGCUGAAAUACUGAGAGAGCUGUGUUUCCCUCUGUAGAGAAGUUGAGAAGCAGCCCUUUGCUAUAAAGUGCCUCAUCUCUCUCUCUCUUACACACACACAGAGCCAUUAGCAGAAGCUACUCUAUCAGACAGAGCAAACACUCCCACUUUUAAUAUUUAAUAAUGGCAAACAUCGUCUCACUGCGAGUGCCUGUAAAUACAUACACAUAAACGGGUGUGUGGGGGAAAUACGAACAAAGACAACAACUCUAGGUUAUGAGAAAAACAAGGCAUAUGUUUCAAGGAAUGCAGAAAAACAAUGUUCUGAAAACGGCUUUGGUGUGCAGGCACAAAAGGGAAAUACAACAUGACAACAUCUGUCAUUUUAGUUAUGUUCUCUUUCUGCGGCGUUUAACCGACUCGGGUAAAAAUCUUCAGACAGACGCGGUUUGAAACACUCCUUGAAGAGCUGAACAUUUUCGUGGAAAGACGUUUACUACUUUGAGGUUUUUGUGUGAACGCCGAGCGAGUGAAGGACAGGGCAGACACAUCAGUAUCGGGUCAGAGGUCAUGUUCCUCCUCUCCUCAUAUCAGGAAGCUGACCGCAAACGUGUUAAGCUUUUCACAUCACGCACACGCACACAGAGAGAGUCAACAGUGCAGUCCUGACCUAUCUGCUGUGACAAACUCCAGAGGUCCCACUUCUGCUCUUCUCUCCCCUCAGCUCGGACGCUGCAGAGCCUCAACUUCCCAUCCGAUCGAUAACACGACAAAUUGACAAAGACUGGUUGUGAUAAAGAUGAACAGAUAUGGAUCCUUCUUCCUGGACUCACAUCCAACCCUAAAGGCUUUACAGGAAGCUAUCACACUAAAGCCUGGCAUAUCUCAAAAGUCACUUCAUUUAGAAGUUACCCAAUCAGACUUUGCUGCGCCCCCUGUCAGCCAGUCAUACUCCUGCUUAAAUCUAUUUCCUCUCUGUCCCUCAGUUUGUCAUUGCGGGUCAUUCACUUCAAUGUCCUCUUAAGUUCAGGUCCUCUGAAGUUCACAACUAAUCACAUCGUGCUUCCCUCUACCACCAGUAUCUCGACUCCAAGGGGGCAGGAGGGUACAUUGUCCAGCUUGCAGGACCUCAUAUUGGAGUCUAGGGCUGGUCAAUAUGGCCUCAAAUCAAUAUCACGAUAUAUCGAUAAAUGGACGAUAACUACUCCACAAGCUGCUCAACCCCUUUUUUUCCUCCAUCUCCUCACCUGUCUUUCCCUCUUUGUUACAGACUGGAUGGGGUGGAGUCAUGUCUAGGACGUCUUAAAGGACAUGAGACCAUAGCCUAUCUACACACAUCCAAAACUAACUUUUAUUUAUUUUUUUGACACUGAGUAUAUUGACAUGGGCAAAAUGACGUUGGUUAUUGUGGUGAAUUUCAGUAUCGAUACAUUUUAGGUUUAUUGCCCAGCCCUAACUACGUUUAAUUUUGACAGUCAGUACCUUUGUGUACAGUCUAAUUGUCUUUAUUAACCCAUUUUUUUAUCGCAAAACCAAACAAAGGUUAACAGCAAAAAGUCUACUACAAGAAGAGACAAAACUAAUAACAGGAGGGAGAUUUUUUAAUUUCCAUUUCGAGAUUCAAGUUGAAAUUUUAAGAUUAAAGUCGAAAUUAAAGAAAUCAAAAUUACGUGAGUAAAGGUGAAGUUUUGAGAUUCAAAUAUCGAAUAAAGUAAUUACUUACGAGAAUAAAGUCACAAUAAAAUUCCUCUAUUCUAACCUGUUGUUUAAGAUGAUAGUUGUUGAUAUGAGAGCCAUGGAGCAUUUGUGAAAAUGUACUUUAAUAUAGGUUUCUCAAACAAGGAUAAACUUAAUUUAUUGGCACAUUAGUACCACAUUAUCAUAAGUAUCAUAAUGAUUUUAUUAGGACUUUAUUCUCGUAAGUAAUAAUUUUAUUAUUAUGUCUUUACUCUCACCAGUAAUGACUUUAUUCUCGUAAAUUGGGAACUUUAAUCUUGAAGUCUUCAAUUUUUUUUGCUCUUAAUGUGGCCUUAAUACUCUGUUGUAUAUCAGAUCCUUUAGAUGAGAUAAAGGUAUAGCAUACUUUGUUUGCAGUUAACAGAACGACAAAGUAAAACAUCUAAACCUGCAAAAACCAAACUUUACAAUCAUGCAGCAUGCACACCCAGGGUUCAAGCACAUCAGUCACAGACUAACAUCCAGAGAAAGACGAGUUUCACCAGAGUCCUGAGUGUCCAAACUGAACAUUUUGCAGUUUCUUGCAGUCCAAUUGGAAGUAAAAAAUACAACAGGCCACAGAGGCUAACACUGCUGGCUAAUCUGCUGUCUGGUACAUCUCCUGCAGCAGCAAAUCUUGGUUCAGUUUGACCGUUUUUAAUAUCUGUAAACACUUCUGUUGUUACUACAAUUCAGAACGUACAUUCUUUAUUUCAGACGUCCAAAUUAAGGCAAAAACUUCACACAUUACACUCCAGUCACGUCGAUAAACCACUCAAGUUUUCUCCCACAUCGUUUCGUAUAUGAGCUGCGUCAGUGAAACACAAAGCACUCAGCACUUCAUUUAAAGCUGCACACAGAAAUCCCCGAGCGCAAAACU